rnacentral:lncRNA from 1 species
AUGCAAUAUAAAUCAGUCUCAGGGCCUGAAUCACAAGCCUCAGUAUAGCAUUCCAUCAUGCUUUCAUGAAAUUUCAAUAUUGAGAUCAAAAUACGUAGAAAAACUGGGAUGUGUAUUCAACAGUGAACAUCAUCCCACAACUUCAGAUUUGCAACUUUUACAUCUAUUUUAAUACUCAUAUAAAAAUGUGAACAACUGUAGCAACAAAGGAGAACAAUUAAAUUCAAUUAGAACUGACUAGUGUUAUGGUAUUGCGAAGAGAUUAUAUCUUCUAAUUUUGAAAAAGUGAUUGCUUUUACAGUUCAAGGAUUACAGCGCCUCCAGUUCUAAAAAUGUAGUCUUUUAAAUUGAAUAGGUCUCAGAAUAAGUCACCUUUUUCCCAUUCUUAGUCCAAAAGGAGCAGAGCCCUAAUGCCCUGCAGUGUUUUUGCUUCUGUUUGCCAAAUGACCUCUAUAAGAGCUGCUUCAACUGGUUGCUUGCUUCUGUAUGCUGUAGACUAUAGACAAUUCCCAUAGCAGAAACAUCACUGCAAAUUUUCUUUUUUUUUUUUUUCCUACAGAAUUUGUUUUGUUUCUGUUCAUUGCCUACAUGGAAGACAGAAACUUACUGAAGAUCUGAAGUUCAUCCCAAUAAACUGACCUUAAUACUCUCAAAACAGUUGUGCAGUGUAUCAAUCAGCCCAGGGAUUUCUUUAAAGCACCUCUACUUGUGGUGGGUAGAAAAACUGGGAAGCACAAGUAGCCCCCUCUAUUCAGUAAGUACUGAUGCCUUUGUCAACAAGCUUUUCAUGGGUUUAGAAAUAACAAGUAGCAUCUUUUGAAGAUCAAAGAGAUCA